rnacentral:rRNA from 1 species
ACCGGCGCACGGGUGAGUAACGCGUAUCCAACCUACCCUUGUCCAUCGGAUAACCCGUCGAAAGGCGGCCUAACACGAUAUGGAGAAGGAUGGGGAUGCGUCUGAUUAGCUUGUUGGCGGGGUAACGGCCCACCAAGGCGACGAUCAGUAGGGGUUCUGAGAGGAAGGUCCCCCACAUUGGAACUGAGACACGGUCCAAACUCCUACGGGAGGCAGCAGUGAGGAAUAUUGGUCAAUGGACGAGAGUCUGAACCAGCCAAGUAGCGUGCAGGAUGACGGCCUAUGGGUUGUAAACUGCUUUUAUAGGGGGAUAGGUACCCUAUGAAUAAGGACCGGCUAAUUCCGUGCCAGCAGCCGCGGUAAUACGGAAGGUCCGGGCGUUAUCCGGAUUUAUUGGGUUUAAAGGGAGCGUAGGCCGUCUUAUAAGCGUGUUGUGAAAUGUCGGGGCUCAACCUGGGCAUUGCAGCGCGAACUGUGAGACUUGAGUGCGCAGGAAGUAGGCGGAAUUCGUCGUGUAGCGGUGAAAUGCUUAGAUAUGACGAAGAACUCCGAUUGCGAAGGCAGCCUGCUGUAGCGCAACUGACGCUGAAGCUCGAAA